GGGCACAUGGUGUAGAUGGUUUAUCACGCCCACUUAGCAUGCGGGAGGUGUUGGGUUCAAGUCCCAAUGUGUCCA
rnacentral:tRNA from 1 species